GACGAACGCUGGCGGCGUGCUUAACACAUGCAAGUCGAACGGAAAGGCCCUGCUUUUGUGGGGUGCUCGAGUGGCGAACGGGUGAGUAACACGUGAGUAACCUGCCCUUGACUUUGGGAUAACUUCAGGAAACUGGGGCUAAUACCGGAUAGGAGCUCCUGCUGCAUGGUGGGGGUUGGAAAGUUUCGGCGGUUGGGGAUGGACUCGCGGCUUAUCAGCUUGUUGGUGGGUAGUGGCUUACCAAGGCUUUGACGGGUAGCCGGCCUGAGAGGGUGACCGGCCACAUUGGGACUGAGAUACGGCCCAGACUCCUACGGGAGGCAGCAGUGGGGAUUAUUGCACAAUGGGCGGAAGCCUGAUGCAGCAACGCCGCGUGCGGGAUGACGGCCUUCGGGUUGUAAACCGCUUUCGCCUGUGACGAAGCGUGAGUGACGGUAAUGGGUAAAGAAGCACCGGCUAACUACGUG
rnacentral:rRNA from 1 species